rnacentral:misc_RNA from 1 species
UAAUAUAUCUAUACAUAUGAUCCUGCUGAAAACAACAAAUAACCGUACGAAUUUGAAAGUUCGGAGUAAUUUGGAGUUUCUCAACUUUUCACGGUGUUAUCGAGCGACUGGGAAUUUCAAACAGCUGGAAUAUUUACGAAAUAAAUUAACAUUAAUUUAAUAAAACAGUUAUUGUGUUGUGACGUUGAGCUAAGCGUGUUUUUUGACAAUUCUAAAUAUAUUUCUUUAUUAAUUUUCAUUGGUUUCAUUGGUUACAGACAUUUAACUGGACGAAUAAGACACUUGUCUUCGCCAGAUUUUCUUUCAGUUUAUUCUUUUUCAGGUUCACGUUGCUGUGCAAGGUUCAGAUCUCUUCAGAAUUCACAGAAUUUCGAUUGCGUCUAAAGAUGGGUAAAACAUGUGCUGUCUUGAACUGUCCGAAUGGGCACGAAGCAGACAGAGAGGAGCGACGACGCAAUUGAGUGCAUCAAGUUUCUAUGUUUGCUGUACCAAAAAAUCAAUUGAAUAUUACAUUUUUUUGCUACAAGAGGUGAGUGAUGGACUUUUGAAGUUGAGCAGAGCUCUUCGGAGAAAUUUGACAGCGAAAGAUGUGGUUUGCAAACUGCACUUUUCACCGGAUAGUGUGCUGAAGGAAUAUGCAACUGCGAUGCCUGAUGGUACCAUCCACUGUAUUCCUUGUGGCAAUUAUGGACUAGCAAAGGAUGCAGUACCAAUGGCUAUUGAAAAUCAGAAAAGUGUCGAAGCGAUUAUUGGGGCUGUGCCGGAAGAGACAAUGGAGGUGAUGGAAUCGUCUGCAGAAGGACUGGAUGGAGUGGAUGGACUGGAUGAAGCAGAAAGACUAUACAGUGCUGAACUAGUAGCACUGGAGGACGAGUUCAUUGAAAGUACAAUUGGCGUUUCAAUUGAUGACAUCAUUGCGCACUUUGAGCAACAACCUCUUCAAAAAACUUGGAGUUGGAUAUACAAAUUGCAAGAUGAUCCGUGAAUCAUUUGAGCCCAGAUCGAACCAAGCACCUUGAUGAUACGAUUGAUUUUGAAGAUAAACAGCGAUCUUUCAGUGACGCUUACCAAAAAAGUGGUCCGAGUCGUUCUUGAUGUCGCAGGGAAAUUCCAGAAAAAGUAAACGAAACGGCUUAGCAACUAAAUUUCACAGGAUGAAAAUCAAGGAUCGAGCACUUAAUUGGGAUCAUUCACCAAAAGUUCAUCGACGCAACAUUUGUGAUGAGUGUGAUGACAUUUUUCACAGGUUCAAUUAAAAUUAGGCUUCCAUUUAUUGAGAUUUUCUAUUGCAUCUAUAAAAUUCAAUUCCAAGUUAGAAAAAUGAUUGUUUUAUAAUUCUGAGUAGAUGAAAUUUCAAGAAAUGUUCAUUUUUUCUAUUCAUGGAUAAAGCAAGGUGGGAAAUCUUCAUUAUAAGAGUUGAAAAUGCAGUUUCUGCUCUCAACUGUGCCUUGCCAUGGAGCCCUGGAUGAAGUAGCGGAAACUCAUAAAAAUAAGUCCCCAAUAAAAACUGGUACUGGAUUUAUACGUACCAAUAUUAGUAUUUUUUUAUCAACUGACUAACUAUUAUUGCCAAUAAAAUCAUCAUUAUCAAAAUUCUA